UGACGACAUUGAUGCAUAUUUUGCUCUUUAGGCGAUGUAAUUGUAGGUUCAUUGGACUUUGUUGACUUUUACAAAUGUGGCCUAAUUGAAUUGGCCUAUUUCAGAAUGUGAAGAAACUUAACACUUUGACCUUUUUGUUAUUCCUUUGGUGUGUUUUUUAAUAUACGUGAUAAGACGACGUACUAAUGUUUUCGUUUAUUUUAUUUUCCAUUGGAAGGGGGUUGUCAUGUGACCAGGAAGUUGAUCCUACUAGUUGGAAACUAACGUAGGCUACUAAAUUGUUAGUUUGAAACGUUUGCAUACGCCAUUAUCAAUGAUACUCGUGUUUAAAUGUAAUGCUUUUUAUUUUGUGAAAUUUGUUUUUUUUAAUCAAAUACUGUUCCAACUGUGAGCUGGUUUGACAUGGACGAGAACGACACCAUCCAGUUUUCAGCAGAACAGUAUCGCUUCUCGGCCUUUUGGCUAAGAUCAAGUGUAGUAUCUGUUCUUAUCAGUUUAAUAUCUGAUACGUCCCCUACCCGGGGACCAUAUAUUAAAUUGAUUUUUGGAACAGGGAGAUGGAAUAGGGGCUUGCUCCGUCCACUCCACGCAUCGACCUGGUAUUGCAGUACAUCCAGGAACGGUGCACUCCCCACCCGGGGAAACAAAGGUGUCGAAAGAAAUAAUUUCUCAUCUUGUCAUGAGCACUUGCUAACGUGCAGAAAUGUUGUAUCAUUUUACCUUUGUUAUUUAAUCCAUUAGAUAGCAAAAACGUAUAUCUGUUUGUGUACAGCUGCAACAUGUGAUGGAGUGUUUGUCACUAUCCAGGGGGAAAUGCAGGGUGACUGAUUGGGCUUCCAGUGUCUGGGGAAAGAAGUUAAACAAACUGGUAUUUAAGGGCUGGAUCAAAGUCUGUAACGCUGUUGGGCCCUGCACACGACAGCACCCACGUACAGGAUUUUAAGGACGGGUUGUUCGGCCAGCCAGAACCUUGCCAUGUCUCCAUGGCACAUUCUCUUGUUCCCACUGAACUCCUCACAGAUCAGCCAAGACCGGUAAAAGAGCAGGAACAGAACCAUCAGCCAGUUCCAGUUUGACAGCUGACAAGUCAUAAUGCUUUAUGAUUUACUGGUUUGUAUACACAGCAGUGUAAAUCCAUCAUAAAACUGUGACUGGUAAUGUUUCAUCAGUGUGUGGAAAUUGAGAAAAAGUAUCAUUUUGCAAUGUUCUCAUUGUUUUAGAGUGGAAAAACACCCCAAGUCUGGUGUAAGCUGCUAAUGUUUUCAAAGAGACCUGAGACUGGAAACCCACCUUAUCUCUGGGUUCCAGGUGGCUGAGCGGUUAGGGAAUAUGGCUAGUAAUCUUAAGGUUGCCAGUUCGAUUCCCGGCCGUGCCAAAUGACGUUGUGGGCAAGGCACUUCACCCUACUUGCCUCGGGGGAAUGUCCCUGUACUUACUGUAAGUCGCUCUGGAUAUAAGCGUCUGCUAAAUGACUAAAUGUAAAUCUCAAGAUGAAUAUGCGAGAGACUGAGGACACUUUUGGAUGUCUAUAAAGCAAGAUAUGAGUGUACUCUUGAUGGGAAGCUAUGCAAUCAAAUAUAAAUCAAUUAAACAGCUGAGAAUGUUGUAAUAUAGUAUGCCAUAUCUGGAUGUGUAUUUUGUGCUUGCUGAUCUCAAAAUUG